AUUGAACGCUGGCGGCAUGCCUUACACAUGCAAGUCGAACGGCAGCGCGGGAGCAAUCCUGGCGGCGAGUGGCGAACGGGUGAGUAAUAUAUCGGAACGUGCCCAGUAGUGGGGGAUAGCCCGGCGAAAGCCGGAUUAAUACCGCAUACGACCUGAGGGUGAAAGCGGGGGAUCGCAAGACCUCGCGCUAUUGGAGCGGCCGAUAUCAGAUUAGCUAGUUGGUGGGUAAAGGCCUACCAAGGCAACGAUCUGUAGUUGGUCUGAGAGGACGACCAGCCACACUGGGACUGAGACACGGCCCAGACUCCUACGGGAGGCAGCAGUGGGGAAUUUUGGACAAUGGGCGCAAGCCUGAUCCAGCAAUGCCGCGUGCAGGAAGAAGGCC
rnacentral:rRNA from 1 species